rnacentral:tRNA from 1 species
GGGGAGAUACUCAAGCGGCCAACGAGGGCAGACUGUAAAUCUGCUGAUUUCAUCUUCGCAGGUUCGAAUCCUGCUCUCCCCA